AUAAUAUUCCAUGAAUACGGCUGGACUUUAGCAUUAGCAUCGACAGCGACAGAAACUUGUUAGAACCGGAUAAUCUGUACAACCGUUUUUGGAAGCUCCGAGGACGGAAUUUGUUUCCAGAUAAUCAGAAGUUUUGCUUCGUCUUCUUGCUGCGGGCCGGGGCCCCUCUUCCUCGUUCCUCCUCUCCAUCAGGAAAUCAUGUUAUCGCCGCAGAGGUUUCCCUUCAGCCCAGGAUUGCGUGAUUUCAGUCUUGUCGAGGAGGCAGCAGAAAGAGGUCAAACGUGUAUCGGGACACGGCAAGUGACGGCACUGGGGACCGCAGCGCACUUCCAGGAAAGAGACAACUUCCUCCAGGGAUCGGAUUUUUAAAGGCCAGACGUGUCUUUGCAAAUCCACACUCCAGGGCAGAUCACAGUGAAGUGAGUGAGUACUUCGUUCAUAUCCUGUGUUUGUAGUAAAAUGACUUCUCUGCAGAAUCUAACGCCACAGUCCAAACAGUCACGUGUUGCCAACAGUGUGAAAGUAGGCCAGAGUACCGGAGUGUGUGUGAACGCACCGCCACUCGCUCACUCACUCGCUCACUCCGUCACUCGGCCGCCAUCAGAGGAAGAAGAGAACUGGAGAACAUCUGUGCUGUGAGAGAGGGACAGUGACUGGUUCUGGGUUCUACAAGAACAGACAGACGGACAGACCUCCCAGAGGACUCUGUUCCUGAUGAAGCAGUGACAGCUACCAAACUGUUUACGUCCUGGCUUCAGUACAAGAUCACACCGGGGCUGACGGUCGGUCCACGGAGAACCAGCUGCAGGGACCGGGAGGAGCCUUACAUCCGACACCGGUCCGUGUGCGCCUCUCAGACGGACCUGAUUAAUGAGGUUGUGUCUGCGCUGCCGCCGCCGCCGCCGCUGCUGCUGCUGAUUCCUGCGGGUGAAGGAUGGAUCUCUCCUCCCGCCGUCCAGCAGUUGUCUGCGGGCAGGAGCCAAUGUAAGGAGCGGGAGCAGGGAGUUGGAGGAGGUUGUGGAGGAUCGCCGUCUCCUUUUUUUUUUUUUUUUUUUUUUUUUUUUUUUUUUUCUUUUUUGUCUGACCCUGGUUACACCUCCUCCAGAUGAAGUCGGCCGUGGAUGUCGGAGGAGACAUGAACUGUGGAAACAGACUCUUCCUCGUUUCACUUUUUCUUGGAAUUGUCCUCACGCGCUUCAGCCUGUGCAACCAAGGUGAGACAGAUCCACUCAGAGUGAUGAUGAUGAUGAUGAUGAUGAUGGUGGUGGUGGUGAUGAUGCACUGCAGUAUUUUGUGAUGUAAAAACAACAAGUUCAGACUCGAACAGCGGUUUGUUUAUUUAUUUAUUUAUUUAUUUCAUUGGUUGCCAUUUAAACAAAUCUCAGCCAGGUAACCAGUCGUGUCCUGGUGGUGGGAUGCUCCGCUGGUGUUUGGCUUCCUUUAACAAAGGAGAAUGCAGACUGUAGCAGUCGGUCUGUCGAGUAAACAGAAGUGAGUGGAUGAAUUUGGCACUUUAAAAA